GACGAACGCUGGCGGCGUGCUUAACACAUGCAGGUCGAACGGGCCCGCUCUCUUUUUUGGGGGUGGGUUGAGUGGCGAACGGGUGAGUAUCACGUGAGUAACCUGCCCCCUGCUCCUGGAUAACUGCUUGAAAGGGCGGCUAAUACGGGGUGUGCCGGCUGGUCCGCAUGGGCCUGGUCGGGAUAGUUUCAUCUUCGGGUGUUUCGGUGGGGGAUGGGCUCGCGGCCUAUCAGCUUGUUGGUGGGGUGAUGGCCCACCAAGGCGGGGACGGGUAGCCGGCCUGAGAGGGUGGGCGGCCACACUGGGACUGAGACACGGCCCAGACUCCGGCGGGAGGCAGCAGUGGGGGGUAUUGCACAAUGGGCGGAAGCCUGAUGCAGCGACGUCGCGUGAGGGAUGGAGGCCUUCGGGUUGUGAACCUCUUUCUCCGGUGGUGAAGGCCCUGUCCGUUGCGGCGGGGUUGACGGUAGCCGGGUAUGAAGCGCCGGCUAACUACGUG
rnacentral:rRNA from 1 species